AUUGAACGCUGGCGGCCGGCCUAACACCUGCAAGUCGAACAAGUGGCGGACGGGUGAGUACUGUCUGGGAACCUGCCUGAAGGCGGGGGCUCACUACUGGAACCGGUAGCUAAUACCGCAUACCAUCAGAUGUGCCACGAUGGGAUUAGCUAGUUGGUGGGGUAUCGGGUCACCAAGGCGCCGAGCCAUCGCUGGUCUGAGAGGAUGACAAGCCAUACUGGAACUGAGAAACGGUCCAGACUCCGACGGUAGUCAGCAGUGGGGAAUAUUGCAAAAUGGGCGCAAGCAUGAUGCAGCCAUGCCGCGUGUAUGAAGAAGGCCUUCGGGUUGUAAAGUACGUUCAGCGGGGAGGCGUUACCCGCAGAAGAAGCACCGGCUAACUACGUGCCAGCAGCAGCGGUAAUAC
rnacentral:rRNA from 1 species